AUGACCGUCGGGUGGUUCAAAGGCCCAAGCCUACCAAUAGUCGAAUACUAUGCCCCCAACCCUCCUCUCGAGCGAAACCCUAUCCCCACUCCCGUCCUCAUCUCAAACAGGAACCAUGGCGGCGGCCGACCAACGACCAACCAUGGCAACGGCCUUGCGCUGCCACUCCGGCGACUGACCUUCCUCGCCACUCCCUCCCAGGGACGGGGUAUUCCUUCCACCAGGCGACGCAGCUCCCGGACGUUUCCUCUCGGCUGCUCCCUCCUGGCCACUUCCUCUGCUGACGGCGACGACCGCAUCCACAAGGCGACGGAGCACCCCGCGGCGACGGAAAAUGGUGUUGGUGGCUCAAGCACUGCCUCAGUAGCAGCACCUGCACUCCCUCAAGUUGAUUCGGAUGACCCUGCGUGGAAGUAUUGCACUCUUCCAGAUGUGAACAAGAAGCAUUGGCAGCGAUGCAACUUUUGUGGCAAGAUAUGCACAGCUGGCAUUACAAGGAUAAAGUUUCACCUUUCACAAAUAACGAAUUGUGGUGUCUUACCAUGCAAGAAGGUUCCUAGUGAUGUCAGGCUGGAGAUGAUAGCUUUGCUCCUAAAGAGUGCUGAGCUGAAGGAAAAAAAGAUCAAGGGAUUGGAGGUGCUCAGAUCUCUUGUUGACUUAGAUCACUUCGAUAGAGAACAAGGAACUGAUGAAGAAGAUGGCAAUCAGGUUGUGAUUUUGAGGUCAAAACCAGGCACAAGCAGCUCAAUGGGUGGCCCUAUGGACAAAUUCUGCAAGCCUAGUAUAGAAGAAACUGUCAAGAGGAAGCAAAAAAGAAAUUGUGAAUCCGAAAAGGUUCAGUCGAAGUUGUCAACUCAGGAAAGACAACAGAGGAGGGAUAGAGCUUGUAAAUAUAUAUGUCAAUUUUUCUAUGAAGCUAGCAUCCCACAUAACACUGUCACACUUGGGAAAGACUUGGUACGGUCAGGUAUUACUAGGUUUGCCACGGCUUAUCUCAAUCCUAAAAGCUUGCAAGACAACAAGAAGGAAAUGCUUAAACUAUUCAGAUUGGAUGAGCUACAUGAAAUGGGUUACUUAGAGAAGGACAAGGGGAAGAUGGCUCACAAAACGGUGCAAUCGGAAGCCUUCUGGAAAGGUGUUGGCGUUGCUGUCAACUACUUUGAGCCAAUGGCUAAUGUGCUAAGAAGAAUGGAUAGUGAUGUGCCCGCAAUGGGAUUCUUAUAUGGUUGUAUGUUGGAUGCAAAAAAGGAAAUUGCUGCAAGUUUUGAUAAUGACAAGAGUCGCUUCAAAUGUGUUAUUGAUAUCAUUGACAAGAGAUGGGACAGCAAACUCAAGUCGCCAUUACAUUUGGCUGGGUACUUUCUGAACCCCUACUAUUAUUAUCCAAACAAGGUUGUGAUAGAGAGGGAUGGAUCAUUUAGAGCAGCCGUGGUCCAUUGCAUCACAAGGAUGAUUGAAAAUCAAAAAACUCAAGAUGAGCUUAUUGAUGAACUUGACAAAUAUGAGGCGGAGGAAGAUUCCUUUGGAAUGGACAUUGCUGUUCAUACAAAGAAACACAGCAGGCUACUCCAUGAUAGGAUGAGUGAUCUUGUAUUUAUCAAGUUCAACUCUAGGAUGAAGCAUAAGAGAGAGAACAAGAGUAGAGACCCAAUAGAGAAGACAAUCGUUGAUGUUCUUGAGGACGAGGAUAACGAGUUCAUCACCGGCAUUGUUGGAAAUGAUAAUGUUGUUGAACAUGUUGGUGAUGAAGAUCAAACUCAACAAGAGAGAGCUUCAACAUCACAAGAACAAGGGAAAAAGAAGAAGAGGCCUACUGCGCCCCUUAGAAAGAAGAGGAAGAAGAGCUUGCAAUCUCUCCUUAAUAGUGUUGAUGAGGAAGCUAUACUUUCUGCCUCUUCCAAUUCUUCUUCGUCGGAAUCAGAAGAUGAGUUUCCCUCGGCCCUUGCUGACUCGGAUUAA
rnacentral:rRNA from 1 species